CUGGCGGCAGGCCUAAUACAUGCAAGUCGAGCGCGCCCUUCGGGGUGAGCGGCGGACGGGUGAGUAACGCGUGGGAAUAUGCCCUUCUCUAAGGAAUAGCCUCUGGAAACGAAGAGUAAUACCUUAUACGCCCUUCGGGGGAAAGAUUUAUCGGUAUCGGAUUAGCCCGCGUAAGAUUAGAUAGUUGGUGGGGUAAUGGCCUACCAAGUCUACGAUCUUUAGCUGGUUUUAGAGGAUGAUCAGCAACACUGGGACUGAGACACGGCCCAGACUCCUACGGGAGGCAGCAGUGGGGAAUCUUAGACAAUGGGCGCAAGCCUGAUCUAGCCAUGCCGCGUGAGUGAAGAAGGCCUUAGGGUCGUAAAACUCUUUCGCCAGAGAUGAUAAUGACAGUAUCUGGUAAAGAAACCCCGGCUAACUCCGUGCCAGCAGCCGCGGUAAUACGGAGGGGGUUAGCGUUGUUCGGAAUUACUGGGCGUAAAGCGCACGUAGGCGGAUUAGUAAGUUAGAGGUGAAAUCCCAGGGCUCAACCCUGGAACUGCCUUUAAUACUGCUAGUCUUGAGUUCGAGAGAGGUAAGUGGAAUUCCGAGUGUAGAGGUGAAAUUCGUAGAUAUUCGGAGGAACACCAGUGGCGAAGGCGGCUUACUGGCUCGAUACUGACGCUGAGGUGCGAAAGUGUGGGGAGCAAACAGGAUUAGAUACCCUGGUAGUCCACACCGUAAACGAUGAAUGCCAGACGUCAGCAAGUAUACUUGUUGGUGUCACACCUAACGGAUUAAGCAUUCCGCCUG
rnacentral:rRNA from 1 species